GACGAACGCUGGCGGCGUGCCUAAUACAUGCCAGUUGAGCGCUGAAGGUUGGUACUUGUACCAACUGGAUGAGCAGCGAACGGGUGAGUAACGCGUGGGGAAUCUGCCUUUGAGCGGGGGACAACAUUUGGAAACGAAUGCUAAUACCGCAUAAAAACUUUAAACACAAGUUUUAAGUUUGAAAGAUGCAAUUGCAUCACUCAAAGAUGAUCCCGCGUUGUAUUAGCUAGUUGGUGAGGUAAAGGCUCACCAAGGCGAUGAUACAUAGCCGACCUGAGAGGGUGAUCGGCCACAUUGGGACUGAGACACGGUCCAAACUCCUACGGGAGGCAGCAGUAGGGAAUCUUCGGCAAUGGACGAAAGUCUGACCGAGCAACGCCGCGUGAGUGAAGAAGGUUUUCGGAUCGUAAAACUCUGUUGGUAGAGAAGAACGUUGGUGAGAGUGGAAAGCUCAUCAAGUGACGGUAACUACCCAGAAAGGGACGGCUAACUACGUG
rnacentral:rRNA from 1 species